UUGAACGCUGGCGGCAUGCCUUACACAUGCAAGUCGAACGGUAACGGGCCUUCGGGUGCCGACGAGUGGCGAACGGGUGAGUAAUACAUCGGAACGUGCCCGAUCGUGGGGGAUAACGAGGCGAAAGCUUUGCUAAUACCGCAUACGAUCUACGGAUGAAAGCAGGGGACCGCAAGGCCUUGCGCGGACGGAGCGGCCGAUGGCAGAUUAGGUAGUUGGUGGGAUAAAAGCUUACCAAGCCGACGAUCUGUAGCUGGUCUGAGAGGAUGAUCAGCCACACUGGGACUGAGACACGGCCCAGACUCCUACGGGAGGCAGCAGUGGGGAAUUUUGGACAAUGGGCGCAAGCCUGAUCCAGCCAUGCCGCGUGCAGGAUGAAGGCCUUCGGGUUGUAAACUGCUUUUGUACGGAACGAAAAGCCUUCUUUUAAUACAGGAGGGUCAUGACGGUACCGUAAGAAUAAGCGCCGGCUAACUACGUG
rnacentral:rRNA from 1 species